UGCCCCUCACUUGCCAAUACGUCUAGAUCAGCCAGGGCGUCGGCAUGUGUAGCGUAUUAUGUUGGGCUCUCUCGAKAUAAGGAUACGAUGUCCCUUUAUCGGUUGGUUUCCUGCGUGUGCGGCCCGUUCGGUUUUUUUGUUACUUUCGCAUCGUUCGGUGCAUUCUGGGGGCUGUGUUGGCUUUUGGUGGCUUGCUUGGCCUUUUGGCUUUGCUUGUUGCUACUUGUCGGGCUGCUUUCGGGAAUGUCGACCGUGGAGGUGCAUGAGUGGUGUUUGGUUUGUUACGUGUGGAUGGCUGUUUGCUUGUGCAACAACGUUCACGCUGCAUACCUCUUCAGUUUUGCGGCAAGGCUUGGUUUGGCUUGUGCAUAUUGUGGGUUUCCUGUGUUGCAUACCUAGUUGAUGGAAAAGUGUGGGUUUUACGAUUUUCAUUUUCGUCUUGCGUCGUUCUUUUGGCGUGGGAUGAACAAUGAAGCGAUCUUUAUGAUCCAUCGUGCUGUUGCGUUUGCAACAAUGAUGUGGCCUAUGAAGCAUCGUUUGGUCUCUUGUAUACGGAAGCUCAUUUGGGCUUGGGUCUUUAUAAGAUCUUCGUUACGCCCUUGUUAARCGUUCUCGCUUCUCCUAAACGAUUG
rnacentral:misc_RNA from 1 species